rnacentral:rRNA from 1 species
AAAGAAACUAACAAGGAUUCCCUUAGUAACUGCGAGUGAAGAGGGAAGAGCUCAAAUUUAAAAUCUGGCAGUGUUUUGCUGUCCGAGUUGUAAUCUAGAGAAGUGCUGCCCGUGCUGGACCAUGUACAAGUCUCCUGGAAUGGAGCGUCACAGAGGGUGAGAAUCCCGUCUUUGACAUGGACUACCAGUGCAUUUGUGGUGUGCUCUCAAAGAGUCGAGUUGUUUGGGAAUGCAGCUCUAAAUGGGUGGUAAACUCCAUCUAAAGCUAAAUAUUGGCGAGAGACCGAUAGCGAACAAGUACCGUGAGGGAAAGAUGAAAAGAACUUUGGAAAGAGAGUUAAACAGUAUGUGAAAUUGUUGAAAGGGAAACGCUUAAAGUCAGUCGUGUCGGCCAGGGAUCAACUCAGCUUUCUCUGCUGGGUGUACUUCCUGAUCUGAUGGGCCAACAUCAGUUUUGACUGCUGGAGAAGGACAGAGGGAAUGUGGCACCUUUGGGUGUGUUAUAGCUCUCUGUCAGAUGCAGUGGUUGGGACUGAGGAUUGCAGCAUGCCGCAAGGCCGGGUCGUUUCGACCACGUACAUGCUGAGGAUGUUGGCAUAAUGGCUUUAAUCGACCCGUCCUGA